GAUGAACGCUAGCGGCAGGCCUAAUACAUGCAAGUCGAACGGGUGGUCGCAAGACCACUAGUGGCGCACGGGUGCGUAACGCGUAACCAACCUGCCCCGAUCUGGGGGAUAGCCCGCCGAAAGGCGGAUUAAUACCGCAUAUACCCGCAGCCUGGCAUCAGGCAACGGGGAAAGAUUUAUUGGAUCGGGAUGGGGUUGCGUGACAUUAGCUAGUUGGCGGGGUAAGGGCCCACCUAGGCGACGAUGUCUAGGGGACCUGAGAGGGUGAUCCCCCACACUGGCACUGAGAUACGGGCCAGACUCCUACGGGCGGCAGCAGUAGGGAAUAUUAGGCAAUGGGCGAGAGCCUGACCCAGCCAUGCCGCGUGCCGGAUGAAGGCCUUCUGGGUUGUAAACGGCUUUUCUCAGGGAAGAAAAAGACCUUGCGAGGUACACUGACGGUACCUGAGGAAUAAGCACCGGCUAACUCCGUG
rnacentral:rRNA from 1 species